rnacentral:rRNA from 1 species
GGAUGCGAUCAUACCAGCACUAAAGCACCGGAUCCCAUCAGAACUCCGAAGUUAAGUGUGCUUGGGCGAGAGUAGUACUAGGAUGGGUGACCUCCUGGGAAGUCCUCGUGUUGCAUUCCA